GAUGAACGCUGGCGGCGUGCCUAAUACAUGCAAGUCGAGCGAACAGAUGAGGAGCUUGCUCCUUUGACGUUAGCGGCGGACGGGUGAGUAACACGUAGGUAACCUACCUAUAAGACUGGGAUAACUUCGGGAAACCGGAGCUAAUACCGGAUAAUAUUUCGAACUGCAUGGUUCGAUAGUGAAAGAUGGCUUUGCUAUCACUUAUAGAUGGACCUGCGCCGUAUUAGCUAGUUGGUAAGGUAACGGCUUACCAAGGCAACGAUACGUAGCCGACCUGAGAGGGUGAUCGGCCACACUGGAACUGAGACACGGUCCAGACUCCUACGGGAGGCAGCAGUAGGGAAUCUUCCGCAAUGGGCGCAAGCCUGACGGAGCAACGCCGCGUAAGUGACGAAGGUCUUCGGAUCGUAAAACUCUGUUAUUAGGGAAGAACAAACGUGUAGGUAACUGUGCACGUCUUGACGGUACCUAAUCAGAAAGCCACGGCUAACUACGUGCCAGCAGCCGCAGUAAAAC
rnacentral:rRNA from 1 species